rnacentral:lncRNA from 1 species
CUGAACUCACACAGCCACUAAGAGAGCUCCUCAAAGCGGACACUACCUGGGAAUGGGGGACAGCACAGCAGCGUGCCUUUGAUGAGCUACGAAAGGAACUGAGCUCACCCACAGUCCUCGCCCAGUACUGUCUGAACAGAGAGACAAAAGUUGCAGCGGACGCUUCCUCCUUUGGAUUGGGAGGGGUCCUGUCGCAAAAGCAACCAACAGGCGAAUGGCGUCCGGUGGCUUUCAUUUCACGCAGCAUGACAAACGCAGAGCGCAGAUAUGCCCAAAUCGAAAAAGAGGCACUCGCUCUGACCUGGGCAUGUGAACGGUUUCAGACGUACCUUGUAGGAAUGGACUUUUUGAUCCAAACAGAUCAUAAGCCUCUCAUUUCUCUACUAGGCAGCAGAGCUCUCGAUGAUUUGCCACCUCGUAUUCUAAGGUUUAGAUUACGACUGCUUCGCUUCACGUACAAAAUAGAACAUGUCCCAGGAAAGAACUUAAUCACUGCGGAUGCACUGUCCAGAGCGCCAAUCCAAGCGGCUCUCACAAUGCAGGACAAGCAGCUGGAAGAUGAUGUGUCCGUGUCCAUUAACCAGAUUUUGCACCAGCUACCAGCAUCUGAAAGCAAACUUGGACAAAUCAGACAGGCACAGGAAAUGGACAGUACGUGUAUAAAACUGAAAGAUUUGGUACAAACAGGGUGGCCUACCAGCAGGAAAGCUCUCCCACCGGAACUUCAAGUAUAUUGGCAGUACCACCAAGACCUGCUUGUGGUAGACGGACUAUUAAUGAAAAGUGAGAGACUUGUCAUCCCAGCCCACAUGCAGGAGGAAAUGCUCAAUAUGGUACAUGAAGGUCACCAGGGCAUGACAAAAUGCAUUGCCAGAGCACAACAGUCCAUAUGGUGGCCUGGUUUGACCAAACAAAUCAAACUCAAAGUUGAAAACUGCUCAACGUGCGCAAAGGAGGUUCACAAUGCACCGGAGCCUCUUAUGACGACACAACUCCCUACUAGGCCAUGGCAGCGUGUUGCAGCAGAUCUCUUCCAGUGGAAUCGUGCCAUGUACCUGGUGGUGGUGGAUUACUUUUCCCGGUAUAUUGAAGUUUCAAACCUUACCUCUACUACUGCCGUCCCAGUGAUCAACAAGUUGAAGGCCAUUUUUGCAAGGUAUGGGGUCCCGGAAAUCCUCGUCACAGAUAAUGGCCCCCAGUUUUCAGCAGCUGAGUUUGCAGCCUUCGCAAGGGACUAUGAUUUCAACCAAGAUGGCCGAACCUUGUAUUGUUCCGACAAAAAGACCAGGACCUGAAACAAAAACAAGCUGCCUGGUUCAACAAGAGGCACAAAACUCAGACGAAACAAGAGCUCAGACCAGGACAGAGGGUCUGGGUGAAGAACUCCAACAACGCGGGGAUUAUCAGCGGCCCAGCCAUCACCCCACGGUCCUACAACAUCGACCUGCCGACGGGGACGUCUCAGGAGAAACAGAUCUCACAUCAGAGUGAUUCCUGAGGGCGCCACAGUCACCAGAUCGGGA